rnacentral:rRNA from 1 species
GCACAAGCGGUGGAGCAUGUGGUUUAAUUCGAUGCAACGCGAAAAACCUUACCCACCUUUGACAUGUACGGAAGUUGCCAGAGAUGGCUUCGUGCUCGAAAGAGAGCCGUAACACAGGUGCUGCAUGGCUGUCGUCAGCUCGUGUCGUGAGAUGUUGGGUUAAGUCCCGCAACGAGCGCAACCCUUGUCAUUAGUUGCUACGAAAGGGCACUCUAAUGAGACUGCCGGUGACAAACCGGAGGAAGGUGGGGAUGACGUCAAGUCCUCAUGGCCCUUAUAGGUGGGGCUACACACGUCAUACAAUGGCUGGUACAAAGGGUUGCCAACCCGCGAGGGGGAGCUAAUCCCAUAAAGCCAGUCGUAGUCCGGAUCGCAGUCUGCAACUCGACUGCGUGAAGUCGGAAUCGCUAGUAAUCGUGGAUCAGCAUGUCACGGUGAAUACGUUCCCGGGC